rnacentral:rRNA from 1 species
AGCGAACGCUGGCGGCAGGCUUAACACAUGCAAGUCGAACGCUCCUAGCAAUAGGGGAGUGGCAGACGGGUGAGUAACGCGUGGGAACGUACCCUUUGGUUCGGAAUAACUCAGGGAAACUUGAGCUAAUACCGGAUAAGCCCCGUAAGGGGGAAAGAUUUAUCGCCGAAGGAUCGGCCCGCGUCCGAUUAGCUAGUUGGUGUGGUAAUGGCGCACCAAGGCGACGAUCGGUAGCUGGUCUGAGAGGAUGAUCAGCCACACUGGGACUGAGACACGGCCCAGACUCCUACGGGAGGCAGCAGUGGGGAAUAUUGGACAAUGGGGGCAACCCUGAUCCAGCCAUGCCGCGUGAGUGAUGAAGGCCUUAGGGUUGUAAAGCUCUUUC